rnacentral:rRNA from 1 species
GAUUCGUCACACUAUCAUUAACUGAAUCCAUAGGUUAAUGAGGCGAACCGGGGGAACUGAAACAUCUAAGUACCCCGAGGAAAAGAAAUCAACCGAGAUUCCCCCAGUAGCGGCGAGCGAACGGGGAGGAGCCCAGAGCCUGAAUCAGCAUGUGUGUUAGUGGAAGCGUCUGGAAAGGCGCGCGAUACAGGGUGACAGCCCCGUACACAAAAGCGCAUGUGCUGUGAGCUCGAUGAGUAGGGCGGGACACGUGGUAUCCUGUCUGAAUAUGGGGGGACCAUCCUCCAAGGCUAAAUACUCCUGACUGACCGAUAGUGAACCAGUACCGUGAGGGAAAGGCGAAAAGAACCCCGGCGAGGGGAGUGAAAAAGAACCUGAAACCGUGUACGUACAAGCAGUGGGAGCCCCACCACUAAGCCAGUGGUGAACUCCACAUCCGCA